rnacentral:ncRNA from 1 species
GGACUGUAUGAAAGGAAAGAACGCUAACACUCCCCAUGAGAAGGAUGGAAGAGGCCCUACAACACAUAUUGGUUAAGGCACUGCAACCUGCUACAUGACAUCCAACCAAGUUUUCCU